rnacentral:rRNA from 1 species
GACGAACGCUGGCGGCGUGCUUAACACAUGCAAGUCGAACGGAAAGGCCCUGCUUGCAGGGUACUCGAGUGGCGAACGGGUGAGUAACACGUGGGUGAUCUGCCCUGCACUUCGGGAUAAGCCUGGGAAACUGGGUCUAAUACCGGAUAGGAGCCAUUUUUAGUGUGAUGGUUGGAAAGUUUUUUCGGUGUAGGAUGAGCUCGCGGCCUAUCAGCUUGUUGGUGGGGUAAUGGCCUACCCAGGCGGCGACGGGUAGCCGGCCUGAGAGGGUGGACGGCCAACCUGGGUCCUAGGGUAGGCCCCGGCUGCCACGGGGGGACAGAGGGGGGAAUAUUGCCCCAUGGGCGCAAGCCUGAUGCAGCGACGCCGCGUGGGGGAUGACGGCCUUCGGGUUGUAAACUCCUUUCGCUAGGGACGAAGCUUUUUGUGACGGUACCUAGAGAAGAAGCACCGGCUAACUACGUG